rnacentral:rRNA from 1 species
CGAGGGGCACACGGUGUAGCAAUACAUUGGUGGCGACCGGCGCACGGGUGAGUAACGCGUAUGCAACCUACCUAUCAGAGGGGAAUAACCCGGCGAAAGUCGGACUAAUACCGCAUAAAACAGGGGUUCCACAUGGAAAUAUUUGUUAAAGAAUUAUCGCUGAUAGAUGGGCAUGCGUUCCAUUAGAUAGUUGGUGAGGUAACGGCUCACCAAGUCCACGAUGGAUAGGGGUUCUGAGAGGAAGGUCCCCCACACUGGUACUGAGACACGGACCAGACUCCUACGGGAGGCAGCAGUGAGGAAUAUUGGUCAAUGGGCGAGAGCCUGAACCAGCCAAGUCGCGUGAAGGAUGAAGGAUCUAUGGUUUGUAAACUUCUUUUAUAUGGGAAUAAAGUGAGGAACGUGUUCCUUUUUGUAUGUACCAUAUGAAUAAGCAUCGGCUAACUCCGUGCCAGCAGCCGCGGUAAUACGGAGGAUGCGAGCGUUAUCCGGAUUUAUUGGGUUUAAAGGGUGCGUAGGUGGUUAAUUAAGUCAGCGGUGAAAGUUUGUGGCUCAACCAUAAAAUUGCCGUUGAAACUGGUUGACUUGAGUAUAUUUGAGGUAGGCGGGAUGCGUGGUGUAGCGGUGAAAUGCAUAGAUAUCACGCAGAACUCCGAUUGCGAAGGCAGCUUACUAAACUAUAACUGACACUGAAGCACGAAAGCGUGGGGAUCAAACAGGAUUAGAUACCCUGGUAGUCCACGCAGUAAACGAUGAUUACUAGCUGUUUGCGAUACACAGUUAGCGGCACAGCGAAAGCGU